UACGUAGGGUGCAAGCGUUAAUCGGAAUUACUGGGCUUAAAGGGUCUGUAGGCGGCCUUGUAAGUCAGGUGUGAAAUCCCUCGGCUCAACCGAGGAAUAGCGCUUGAUACUGCAAGGCUUGAGGGAGACAGGGGUAAGCGGAACUGAUGGUGGAGCGGUGAAAUGCGUUGAUAUCAUCAGGAACACCGGUGGCGAAAGCGGCUUACUGGGUCUCUUCUGACGCUGAGGAACGAAAGCUAGGGUAGCGAACGGG
rnacentral:rRNA from 1 species